rnacentral:tRNA from 1 species
GGGCGAGUGGCGGAAUUGGUAGACGCACUGGGUUUAGGUUCCAGCGCCCAUAAAGCGUGAGAGUUCGAGUCUCUCCUCGCCCACCA